GAGGGUAUAGCGCAGUGGUAGAGUUCAUGCCUAGCAUGUAGGAGGAUCUGGGUUCAAUCCCCAGUACCUCCA
rfam:Camelus ferus unplaced genomic scaffold scaffold445, whole genome shotgun sequence.